GGCCAAUAAUGAACUCAGAUUGCAGAUUUCUGCCGGGAGUGCAUUCCACAGCCCAGAAACAGCCACAGAGAAGGCCCGCCUUUUGACAGGACAGAGGGUACCAAUGUAGAAACAGUGGGAGCCUCAAAAAAGGUGCACUAGGGAACAGUCACAGGGCAAUAGUCCUUCCCUGUUGGUUGGUUGGCCUCCUGCAACUGGUCUUCAGAGGCAUACUGCUGCUGAGCAUGGAAGUUCCACGCAGUAGGAAAGCAGUUCAUGCACGCUGGCCACUUCCUGUCUGAUGCUGACUGGGGCAGCAAGAGGCUAUAUAGCUGCCCUGCGACAGAGGUUUUGGAAGCAGCGCCGGAGGGGGGAACACUGUAAGGGAGGUAAGGACACCCUCCCCGUGCAGUAAAGCUACCCCCCCCUCCCCCCAGCAAACACACAAACCUUUGAAGCAGCUUGAGUGCCGGUCUUUUGAACAAGUCCAGUGACCUGUGAAUAGAACCGCUUCAGGCACACUCCUGUUUGAAAGUACUCCUGCACAGGUACGGCCCUCAUACAUUUCAGUGUCAAGCACGGGCAAGGAAUGUCGGAAGAUGCCCACACUACAGGGGUUUAAGUCUGCUGUUCCCAGAGAACCCUGGGAACUGUAGUUCCAGGGGCGGAAUGUGAGCGGUCUCCAACCAGACACUGUCAGCACCCUCCCUAAACUACAAUUCACAGGCUUCCUUGGCGGGGAGGCCAUGGCAGUGAGGCACUGUAGUGGCACCGCAGAAGAUUGGCGAGGAGUUUAGUGGUGUCGUCCAUUUCUGCCCUCUACACAUGAUAUAUUGCUUAUAGUUAGACAUUUCUGCAUAUAUUGCUUAGGAGGCCUUUCUAGGCCUUUCUCCUUGGGCUUUUCCUGGAAGGCAUGAACUAUGAACGACACUGACGGGAUGUUUAUACCUGGCCGAGUAGUACAGCUAGACCCCGGCGAUAUUCCCCAAAAUAAUUAGGAAGGAUCAGAGGCAUUGCCCAACACACAGAUAGUGCUUCCCCAAACAUCUAGGGAAGAUGAAUCAGGCUGUGCCCAGGGUUGGAAUGCACUUAGCAUCAGGGGCGUAACGAUAGGGGGGGCAGGGGGGGCACGUGCCCCAGGCGCCACUUGGCAGGGGGCGCCAAAAAGUGCCCCCACCAAUCCCCUGCCUUUGGCAAAAAAGAAUUUUUUUGUGAUUUUUUUUCUCAUUACGGAGCUCUCCGGCGGGCGGGAGCUCCCAUUGGCUGCCGGAGAACACAUGCCGACCAUGCUGGUUGUCUCAGUUCCUCCCUCCCUGCUUGCUGCGCGCACGAGGAGUGGAGCGGAGUAGCUUGGUUUAGUUGAGAGCGCAGCUGCUGCUGGGGACCUUCUCUGACUCGGCCUGCCUGCCGUUUGCCCACCACACUGCCCUCUGGCUGCAUUUUAUUCUUCUGCUUCUGCAUUAACAAAUCUAUCCGAUCCACGGCUGAAAUGGCAUAUAUGAUUGCCUGGGAGGAGAAAGAGACAGUGGCACAGAGACUGCAUUUAAGAAAAUCUCUGUAUGAAGAGGCUUGGCUGCCACUCGCCGAGAGAGAAGACAGACAAGGCACUUCCACAACCCACACAAAGAUGCAGUUUGGCAACAUGAUCUUGUGCACCCUGAAUAUGAGAGAGGUACUGGAAAGGGGGAGGUUUUUAAACUGAUGGGUCUGGCUAGGAUCUGGGACUGUUGCCUUGUUGUCCACUAAUUCACAGGGAAGGGGGCCAUGGCCCAGUUCAGGAAGCCGAAGGGACGCCUAAUAUGCAGCUCAGCCUAGCCAGCACUUCCUGAAUUCAGAACGGGGAAGGCGAAUGGUACAGGCGGCAGUUACUCAAACCACUGUGUAGUCAGCAGAGUUUCAUCCUUCGCUGCACAGCUAUCUGCUGACAUGCAAAAACAAAACCCUACAUGGAUUCAGCAAAAUAUCAAGGCGUCUAAAAAGAAUCCAGAGAAAUACAUAUAUUUUAAUAUAAUUAUAAUAAAACUAUACCCUUAGGGGACACUUUCCAGUUACGCAGGGAGUCAUAUAAGGGUAUAGUUUUAUUAUAAUUAUAUUAAAAUAUAGUUAUCUGCUCAGCCAUGCAGUUUUCAGCACUCAUAAGAACAGCUCUGCUGGAUCAGGCCCAAGGAGGCCCGUCUAGUCCAGCAUCUUGUUUCAUGCAGUGGCCCAGCAGAUGCCUCUGGGGAGCCCACAGGCAAGAGGGAUGUGCAUGCCCCCUCUCUCUUGCUGUUGCUCCCCUGCAACUGGGAUUGAGAGGCAUUGUGCCUCUGAGGCUGGAGGUGGCCCACAGCUAGACUAGUAGCCAUUGAUAGGACUGUCCUCCAUGAAUUUGUCUAAGCCCCUUUUAAAGCCAUCCAAGCUGGUGGCCAUCACCACAUCCCCUGGCAAAUAAUUCCAUAGAUUAAUUAUGCACUGUGUGGAAAAAGUACUUCCUCUUGUUGUUCCUAAAUUUCCCAACCUUCAGUUUCAUGGAGUGACCCCUGGUUCUAGUGUGGUGAGAGGGAGAAGAAUUUCUUUCUCUCCACUUUCUCCACACCAUGCAUGAUUUUAUAGACCUCCAUCAUGUCUCCCCGCAGUUGUCUUUUUUCUAAACUAAAGAGCCCCAGGUGUUGUAGUCUUGCUUCAUAAGGAAGGUGCUCCAGGCCCCUGGUCAUCUUGGUUGCCCUCUUCUGCACCUUUCCCAGUUCUACAGUGUCCUUUUUUAGAUGUGGUGACCAGAAUUGGAUGCAAUAGUCCAGAUGUGGCCGCACCAUCAUUUUGUAUAAGGGCAUGAUAAUAUUAGCAUUUUUAUUUUCAAUCCCCUUCCUAAUGAUUCCUAACAUGAGUCCUAGAUUCCUUUAACAUUUUAAAUUUCUGUAUUCCCACUCAUCCCCUCUGCCUUCCAAUCUUUUUUUUUUUAAGGGGAGGGGCAGAUUAGAAAUAUAGGACACUGCCUUGUGCAUAAGUCAGACCCUCGGUCCACUUAACUCAAGAUUGUCUGCACUGACUGGCAACAGCUCUCCAAGGUUCCAGGCAGGCGUCUCUCCCAGCCCUACCUGGAGAUGCUGCCAGGGAGUGAGCCUGGGGCCUUCUGCAUGCCAGGCACGGGCUCUCCUGCUGAGCGAUGGGCCCAUUCCCAUAUCCGUGGACCCCUGAUGCAAACCCUUCCUCAGGCUUAUAUCUACAGAGAGAUUUCCUCCCACUCCACCAGGCCUCUGCUCCCCCCACAGUUUUCUUAAGGAGCCCCAAUAUAUUUCUGGCCAACUCAUUUCACACACCAAGCAAUUCUCACAACAGGGCACACGUAUCUCCACGCCAAAGUUGCACAACUUCAGCCCUCUUAGAGAUCUUGGACUACAGCUCCCAUAACUCUUGACUAUGGAUGCCCGAGGCCAAGGAUGAUGGGAGUUGUAGUCCAAAACCAGCUCGGGGGCCAGAGUGUGCAGCCCUUCUCUGUGCUUGCUCACUCACACCCGGAAGUUCUUACAAGUCUCUUUGACCUUGCCCCACACAAAAGUCGCUGAAGCUGUGCCGGAAGGAGGAAGGGAGACACCCCCACCAGUCACUCACCUUGGCGGGCCAGAACUGCUCCCGCCACUUGCAAAGGACGUAUUCUCCUUCAGUCAUUGCUGCGGCUGGCAGAGGAAAGUGGAUACCUGAUAUGUAGAUGAGAGGAAUCAAUUUUAAGUAUAGUAGCCUCAAAGUGGGUAGGAAAAAAAUAUGGCUUCAUUGUUACUGUCCCACACAUUUUUACCCUGCGUUUUACUUUGUAUACAUACAGAUGGUGCUAUAAAAUUGAUUUCACCCUCACAAUUGCCCUAGGUUAUUUAUUAUUAUUUAUGUAUUUAAUUGAUUUAUAUACCGCCCUUCCAAAAUGGCUCAGGGCAGUUUACAAUUAAAACAAGCCACUAAAACAAAAACUGAAACAAAUUAAAAACAAUAUAGCAAUUAACAAUAUAAAAAUAUUUUAAAAUAGGAUUAAACAGUUUACAGUAAUUAAAAGCCCCAAAAUCGGGUUAAAAUUUAAAAACCCUGGAAAGCCAGGCCAAACAAAUACGUUUUAAGGGCUCUCCUCCCGAAUUCAAAUUACGGAUUUCCGCAGGGAGCG